AGCUUAGCACCGUGUGAGCAUUCCCUUUUCAUCAAACGAUGUCGCUCUGCAUUGCUUCAAUUCAUUUCAGCUAGGCAGCACGUUGUGAGCUCUGCUCUGUUUCGAAAAUAAAUCAGAACAUAAAAAAUUUUGUACCCAGGCCAAACUGACAAAAUUGAAAAACUGAACUGACUUUUAUUGAUUAUCUCUAUUACAAGCAUUGAUUUUGUGCUGAGGCCAAACACUUAUUAUAGAAGCUUGUAGUUGAGACAGGAAUAGAAACAGAGACAAACAAAAACACACAAACACAAAAAAAAAAAAAAAAAUUACAGCAACAACAACUCCAGCAUCAAUUCCAGCACCAGUAACACUUUCAGCAAAAAAAAUUCCAGUAACACUUCCAGCAACAACAACCUGGCUAAGGGGAGCCGUGGUGUGGCGCUUUGUGAGUGGAUGAGGAGAUGAGAAGGGAGAGAGGUUGACCCAGUUUGACCCACGAACCCAACCCGCGAACGUGACCCGGUUGGAUUUCACGAUCCCGGCCAUUCUACUGGCCAAUCAAGGUAUUGAUCUGAAGCUUGGAAGCC
rnacentral:lncRNA from 1 species